rnacentral:rRNA from 1 species
CUGGCUCAGGACGAACGCUGGCGGCGUGCUUAACACAUGCAAGUCGAGCGAUGAAGCUCUUCGGAAGUGGAUUAGCGGCGGACGGGUGAGUAACACGUGGGUAACCUGCCUCAUAGAGGGGAAUAGCCUUUCGAAAGGAAGAUUAGUACCGCAUAAGAUUGUAGUACCGCAUGGUACAGCAAUUAAAGGAGUAAUCCGCUAUGAGAUGGACCCGCGUCGCAUUAGCUAGUUGGUGAGGUAACGGCUCACCAAGGCGACGAUGCGUAGCCGACCUGAGAGGGUGAUCGGCCACAUUGGGACUGAGACACGGCCCAGACUCCUACGGGAGGCAGCAGUGGGGAAUAUUGCACAAUGGGGGAAACCCUGAUGCAGCAACGCCGCGUGAGUGAUGACGGCCUUCGGGUUGUAAAACUCUGUCUUUGGGGACGAUAAUGACGGUACCCAAGGAGGAAGCCACGGCUAACUACGUGCCAGCCGCAGC